rnacentral:rRNA from 1 species
AUGUCGACCAUGAUGCCCAGCUUGCUGGGCGGAUUAGUGGCGAACGGGUGAGUAAUACGAGAGUAACCUGCCCUUGACUCUGGGAUAAGCCUGGGAAACUGGGUCUAAUACUGGAUACUACCGUCCACCGCAUGGUGGGUGGUGGAAAGGGUUUUACUGGUUUUGGAUGGGCUCACGGCCUAUCAGCUUGUUGGUGGGGUAAUGGCUCACCAAGGCGACGACGGGUAGCCGGCCUGAGAGGGUGACCGGCCACACUGGGACUGAGACACGGCCCAGACUCCUACGGGAGGCAGCAGUGGGGAAUAUUGCACAAUGGGCGGAAGCCUGAUGCAGCGACGCCGCGUGAGGGAUGACGGCCUUCGGGUUGUAAACCUCUUUCAGUAGGGAAGAAGCGAGAGUGACGGUACCUGCAGAAGAAGCGCCGGCUAACUACGUGCCAGCAGCCGCGGUAAUACGUAGGGCGCAAGCGUUGUCCGGAAUUAUUGGGCGUAAAGAGCUCGUAGGCGGUUUGUCGCGUCUGCUGUGAAAGCCCGGGGCUCAACCCCGGGUCUGCAGUGGGUACGGGCAGACUAGAGUGCAGUAGGGGAGACUGGAAUUCCUGGUGUAGCGGUGAAAUGCGCAGAUAUCAGGAGGAACACCGAUGGCGAAGGCAGGUCUCUGGGCUGUUACUGACGCUGAGGAGCGAAAGCAUGGGGAGCGAACAGGAUUAGAUACCCU